rnacentral:rRNA from 1 species
UAUUUAUUAGAUAAAAAACCAACGCCCUUCGGGGCUCCUUGGUGAAUCAUAAUAACUUAACGAAUCGCAUGGCCUUGCGCCGGCGAUGGUUCAUUCAAAUUUCUGCCCUAUCAACUUUCGAUGGUAGGAUAGUGGCCUACCAUGGUGGCAACGGGUAACGGGGAAUUAGGGUUCGAUUCCGGAGAGGGAGCCUGAGAAACGGCUACCACAUCCAAGGAAGGCAGCAGGCGCGCAAAUUACCCAAUCCCGAUACGGGGAGGUAGUGACAAUAAAUACUGAUACGGGGCUCUUUUGGGUCUCGUAAUUGGAAUGAGAACAAUUUAAAUCCCUUAACGAGGAACAAUUGGAGGGCAAGUCUGGUGCCAGCAGCCGCGGUAAUUCCAGCUCCAAUAGCGUAUAUUAAAGUUGUUGCAGUUAAAAAGCUCGUAGUUGAACCUUGGGUCUGGCUGGCCGGUCCGCCUCACCGCGAGUACUGGUCCGGCUGGACCUUUCCUUCUGGGGAACCUCAUGGCCUUCACUGGCCGUGGGGGGAACCAGGACUUUUACUGUGAAAAAAUUAGAGUGUUCAAAGCAGGC